ensembl:lncRNA
UCCUUCAAGAAGUCAGCUGCAUGGCUGUGGCAGGGACCUUCUGAGAGGAGAAGGGAUUUUGAUUCGUAGUGAAGUGGAUGAGUUUGUCUUCAUCACAGACGUUGUUUCAGGAGCAGUUGCAGUAUCAAGAAGGUGCCCAGCACAGCUCAGAACUGUUUCCAAUGGUGUCUCUAACUUCAUAGCUGCUGCACUGACCAAGUGGGAAUAUGAUGGCCCAAACAGAAACUUGCUAUGGCUGAUUCUGCUUCAUUGGCUGCAAGGAUUUGGCACCUGUUGAUUCUGUGCUUCAUUGUGAGGAGGUCAUGGACAGCUGCCAAAUCAACGGACUAAGAAAUUAAUUAAGCAACUCUGCACUGAGCCUGUGCAUUUUCCACACGCCCAAUUACUAGUGACCUAAAUCGAGGGCAAAAGCCUGGAGUCUGGAGCUCGUUUAGAGAAGUGAUCCUUCCAUAAAACUGCACAUCUCUAUCUUAUGUGGAACGUAUGUCCUAAAAUAAUGUCAGUACUCUGAAGCUUUGGUUCAGCCUCAGUGAACAGCAUGGGUGUGCUGAUGUUUGGUCCAGUUGGCUUGACCUGCCUACAUGUUAAACAGCAUUGAAAAUCAAUUCAACGAUGCAACUUCCAUAUACACAAUAGGCUUAAAGGGAAGGAUGCAGUCAGCCCUUCCAUGACAGCCUAUAGCAGGGAACAGCACCCUGCUGGGACAUGGCUCACAAAAGCAGAAGCAGCAGAACUGUGCUGAUGGCCAGCAGCAUCGGGGGCAUGAAGUAGAAGGUCGGGGCCACGCUUCUUGGCCAGUUUCCACAUUCAGAUGAAUUAAAAAAGCUAUUCUGGUAAACAUAACUGAGUAAUUCUGUGCUGCCAUCAAACAAUAGAAUAGAUAUACAUCUAUUGUUUGUUUUUUUUUAAAGACUACUAGCUUCUAGGAGUUAAUGGCCUGAUAGUGACUUUGAAAUGGGAGCGUAGCAUUUCAUUUAAUCUUGCUUAUGGUUUAACUCUUGAGGUCAGCUAUGUACUGUUUAUAAUCAAGUGGACUUAGAGAUUUUGGCAUAAACUGUAGUAUCUUUCCUAUCUUACUGAUAACGUUGGUGCAUACAUAUCUCGUGCUUUGUGUCUCUGCAUAUCUCUGGCAAGUAGGCAGCCCUUGUGAAGUGCUUCCUGGGUGGCCCUACAGCAUUGUUCCUCAAUACCUGGC